rnacentral:rRNA from 1 species
UGGGGAAUUUUGGACAAUGGGCGCAAGCCUGAUCCAGCCAUGCCGCGUGAGUGAAGAAGGCCUUCGGGUUGUAAAGCUCUUUCGGACGGGAAGAAAUGGCGGGCUCUAACAUAGCCUGUCGAUGACGGUACCGUAAGAAGAAGCACCGGCUAACUACGUGCCAGCAGCCGCGGUAAUACGUAGGGUGCGAGCGUUACUCGGAAUUACUGGGCGUAAAGCGUGCGUAGGUGGUUGUUUAAGUCUGAUGUGAAAGCCCUGGGCUCAACCUGGGAAUGGCAUUGGAAACUGGGCAGCUAGAGUGCGGUAGAGGGUAGUGGAACUCCCGGUGUAGCAGUGAAAUGCGUAGAGAUCGGGAGGAACAUCUGUGGCGAAGGCGACUGCCUGGACCAGCACUGACACUGAGGCACGAAAGCGUGGGGAGCAAACA